GUACGCAGAGACUGCGGAGGAUCAUUA
rnacentral:rRNA from 1 species